GCCAGCUUUGGCUACAACUACAUAAAUGUGGUCACAUGUUGCUGUACAAAAGACGUCUUGAAGCAUCGGCAGCUACAUUUAAACAAAUAUAUAUAUUUUAAUACAUAAAUUAUUUAUUUUUAGUUAUUCAAAUUUUUUUAAUUUUUCGUUUAGAUUGUUUCUAUCGGAGAGUCAUUGGAUGUUGCCCAUAGCCAUUGGAAAAUGCUGCAUGGGAAAGAUGAUAACAAAGAUGAAGGGAAAGAUGCCUACAAACGUCUCGAUUCAGUGGAGUCAUCAUAGGAGCAGUAAAUGGUGUUCGGUGAUUCUGCCAAUUUAAUAUGAAGUGUCCGACAAACGCCAGCAGUUACUUGAAAUCAACUUUUUAAAAGAUCUAUAUAUAAGU